AGUCUAUCUAGACAAGACAAAGUAUUAUCCCCAUUUUACAGCUGGGCACUGAGGCAUGGAGAAAUUAAAGCUCAGAUCCUCACAGGUAUUUUAAAUCAAUAAGCGUUAGGCACCUGAAUACCUUUGAAGACAUGAGCCUAAGGUCGGGUCGACACUUAACGAUUAGAUCAACCUAGCUACGUCGCACAGGGUGAUGAAAAACUUCGUACCCUCAACAACACAGGGCGACUAACCCUGGUACAGAUGCAACUAGGUUGACAGAAGAUCAACCUAGCUACCGCCUCUCAGAGAAGUGGAUUAACUACAUUGAUGGAAAAACCUCUACUGUCGAUGUAGAAAGUGUACACUGUGCUGUUGUAGCGGCUACGGUGUACGCAUGGCCUAAAUGACUUGCCCAAUGUCAAACAGGGAAGCUGUGGCAGAGUUGGUGACUAAAAGAUUUUCUGCGAGAGCAUCUUUCCUAAGAAAAAGCCAUGGUCCAAGAGGAGGUCCACGCGUUGCUGCUACUGCUGCAUCAAGGUGGUCGGUGGAUUCGUCCUGCUCAUACUGAUAGCAUCAGUCUUCACGGUGCUGUGGUAUUUUCUAGCAGCUAACUUCAGCCCAAAAUAUCCCUGGGCAGGGACGGAAUUAAAACCAGUCGAUAUUUCAUGGGCUCAUUCCAGCUGGUGAAUGAAAUCUACUAUUCCCGUCACAGCAACUCUGCUUCGGACACAUUCAAGAGGGAGGCUGCGAAGCUGGAGAACGUGCUUUGAAUGCAGAGAGAAGCACCCCACUCUUCCCACUGACAUAAAAGAGGAACAUAACAAAUGGGCGUUGCACACAUGAAUGUCAAGGAGAACCCACCAGUUACGAGCCGAGGAGCCCCCUUCCUGGACGAAGACCCCAUGGUGCUGUCCAAACACAGAGCAAAAAGACGGUCUCUGCCCCAGAGAGCUGGCAAUCUCAGUAUACGAGACAACAAAUGGAUACAGACAGAAGGGGAAGUACAAGGAAACAUUGGUCAGCCUGAUAGGCAGCGGGUUUGAAAAUUCUGACCUAUCUUACAGGGCUUUGUCGGUAAAUAAAAGGCUAAUAAGAGGCAGGAAAAGUCCAAGUCUCAACUUCGUUUCCCAAAGACACUGAUCCUUCUCACAGUGCUGCUGGGAGGAGCAUCAGCAGAAAUCCCCCGUUAUGUACCUGUUCAUAGCGUCUGAUCUGGCAAGGAUCGAAGAUCGCUGGUGCGUUUGGUAGGAGUGCCCUGAACAAGAGCUACCAGGGCUUGGCUGUGCUGGCAUUGAGGCCUGGUGUAUUUCACAAUGCUGGCUCAUCACACAACCGGAGUCUUGCCACUGUGUUGACAGUAGUGGUGGGCAGACUCCCCAAUUUUGGGAAGCUUCAUCAAUUUGGCUGCAAAUCUUCUGAGAGCCCCUGGCUCAGAAAUGCGGUAGGAGUUGUGAUCCUGAUAAGAAUCCCAGGCCUUCUACUUUGUGAGGUGCAGAAGGGCAGGAAAAUGACCCAAACAAACCCAAAGCUCAAACAAGCGUCUUCGAUCAAGUGUUCAGUCAGGUUCGUAUUUGAUCAGAACCAGUACAACAUCCUUAGUGGACACAGCCACCUUUCCUGAACACACAAUGUACGGACAUUCGUCUCCACAAAAAUUCAUCAUCCCUGAAGUCUGCAGACAUGUUCAGGUUCUGUGCCAGCUCUCUUUCUCUUGUGAUCUGCACUGACAAUGCAUACACACAGGUCAACCAGCCUCUGCCCUGUGUUGAGAUGAGUUCCUGUCUGCAUCCUGUAAAACUUGCCCAUACCGGUAUUGCCCUGGCCUCUUCUUUUGUCAUUCAGUGUUGCACGCAUUCUAAAACAAUAUGCAUUUCCUCACCUUUUGGGGGCGAAGCCAGACUUUGAGGCACCUGCUCCCCUACUUGGUGUAAACUUUGCUUGUGCCAAUCAGAAACGAACACAAACAGGUUUUGGGCCCCGUCCCCUAUGACACUUCUAUGAUGUCAUACUUGGUACUUUAUGGGCCUGCCUGCCAUGUGCAGGCAGGGAGAGGAGAAAGAAAAACGAAUCCUGUGUAUCCUGUGUACACCCGUAACCGAGCCUGAUCACCUCGAAGCCUCUCUCUCAGCUCACGUGUUUCAAACAGAGUGUCUACGUUUGCCGGUCGUUAUGCGUUGGUUUGUAUUUGUAAGUAUCAGUUAUUACUAAAUGCUGCAUCUUUGUUUAUAAAUAUUGUUAGUAGAUAUUUUAGUCAUUGUGUGUUUUAAGUUUCAUUAACUCUAUUAGCUAAUCAAAUGCUGCUCCCUUACCCUUGUAAUUAUCCCCAAUAAAACGUUAAAUUGAUUAAUUUUAGUUGUGUGUGUGUGUGUGUCUGCAGUUUGCAUCGUGACCCAUACUCUCCUUGCAUCCCUUACCAAUAUAGUCUAUUGCCACGUGCAGCCUGGUAAAUAACAGGCCUGCAUUUUCUUUCGCCCCUGCGUGCCCAUGGCAAUCCACACCCUGAAGACCUUACAUUGGCAAACAGGUUACACUAGGAAAAUUAGAGGUGGGAAUAACGUGGUGUGUAUUCCUCUCUCUCCUUUCCUACUCCCCUUCCUCUUAUCCAAUUGCAUGGAGCUGAGAUUUAGCCAUGUGGCUUAAAUGGAUUAAAAAGUAGUAACGCUGCGUCACAAAGGUCACAUCUGGACUGUCCCAGAGUUUGGGCCAGGGCUUUGAUUUGGCUGAUUAUUGACAAAAGGGCCCGCUGUGAAGGCUGGAGCCUGAUCUAUUACCUCAGAACACCGCCGUAACUAAAAAACAAGGAAAUCCCAGAGCAGCUGUCUCACCCAGCACUAUCCCAGACCCAGAGCGUCUGCCCACGACCAUCAACACACUUAGCAAAUCCUAACAAAUUCACUGUCGCUCUCAGCGCCCUCAGCGCACACCGCAAAGAAAUGACAAGCCAAACUACAGUAUUUCACUUCCUAGGACUGAUUACAUUUCCUAGCUUGAUUAUGAUUAAAAGUACUGUACUAAUAAAUAAAAAAUGACCACAUGAAUUAACUCAUAUUAGUGAUGCCUUAGAUUUUGCUACAGGGUAAAACUUUCAGAGGCGUCUAAAUGCCAUAGGAGAUUUUCACUAAGACUUAGACUCCUAUGUUCAAAGUGACAGACACCAGGAGCCAGAUUUUUAAAGGUAUUUAGGCACCUAAAGAUGGAGCUAGGCACCUAGCAAGGUGUUCAAAAGCACUAGGCGCCGAACCCCAAUUGAUUUCAAGCCCAGGUGCUUAGGCACUUUUGAAAAUUCUAUUAGGUGCCUAUUUGACAAAGGUAUUUAGGCACCCAACAUUGCAAUCUGGCCCUAAGAAGUCAAAGUCUCAGUAAAAUUCAGUGGGACAUAACAGCCCCUAAGUGACUUUGGCCACUCACACUGUAGGAGUAUAUUUUGAGGCAUUUAUCUGCCAGAGGGAUCAGAAUAGAAGGCCAGAGCCAUACAGUACAUUACAGGAGCAGGUGAUGAAAGGGAUAAAAAUCACCAUAACCUCCCCGUACACCAUGUCCCCUCCUCCCCCUUUAUUGGCCUGGCUCAUUCAAACCGGCUCAGAGAGAUCCUGUGGGUGCCGUUGUCUGUCACUAUCUGUCCGGUGCUCUGACGGGCCUGGCUCGGAGAAGUGCCGAGUGCAGCCGGCGUUGUGAGCGCUCAGCAUCCCGGCGGCCCGUUUCGCAGUUCGCAUUUCAUGCUGCUGUCGGGGGAAUGUCUGGAUCGUCUCAACCAAGUUCUGAGACCAGAACAUCCAGAACCUUCCAGAUCGAUUUCCCCUGAUGUUUGGGAUGCAGCGUGCCAGGGGUCGCACAGACUGGUCUGCCAGGUACCACAGGCUGCCUCUCUAGCGAUCUUCCUGCCUCUGAUGCAUUCAGGGUGGAUUAUGGGUAACGAGGACAUCUGUUCCCAAAGGGGAGUGGGUUAGGAGCUGGGCAGAGGCCAUUUCCCUGCCGCUACCACCUCUGCUUCUGUUGCAGCCCAAGUCCCUUCACGGAGCACUUCAGGCUGCAGUCAGUGGCACUGAAACAUCAGCGAGGCUCAACAAUGCUGCGGUGGCGCACGAAUUGGCACAAGAGUACCAGGGCGCAGGGGACAAAGUCGAAAUGUCCGUGGACGUUGGCAGCUUGCUGGUGAGAGAUUAUGGCACUUGCUCCUCGGUGCCUGGAGGUGACACCGAUGCACCGUGGCCAUGGCAAGCCGCAGAGCGGAAGAACGGAGACCCAGCAUGUGCCGGAAGCCUGAUCUCAGAGGGCUGGGUGUUGUGCAUGGCAAGUUGUGUCACAACCAGAUGGCAGCUGGAGGAGCCUGUGUGUGCCCAGGAAAGAGAGCUGCUUUUCAUUGAAAGAAUCAUUCCAUCCACGAUAAAAC